CACAUUAAAGUCCUUAAUAAAGAUUAAGGUAUUAUUGGGCCGUUUCCAGGCCCCCAAAAGGUAAAAGCCCAUUACAAUCAGUAUAAAUAAAGGUUUCAGGUAUCGCCUUGUGAAUAUUGGGCACUACUGCUCGGUGGAACUUUGGGCACUACCCCAGCCACAGUCACGAGGUUAAUCCGUUAUCACUCACCUUGGAUCAUAUGGAAGCACCCAAGACUAGGACCUCCUGCUACUCCUCACCACAUGGUUCAAUCCUCUCUACAUGAGAAGAAAGACCAUUGGAGUUUCAGGAUGACCCCAAAACUGAGCUACCAUGUAAUCAAUCAUUCUAGACAACCCCAAAACACCACCAUGUAUCCUCUCCUUGAGAAUCAUAGAAUUACGUCCAUAAAUCAUAUUGUUACUUUGAACCUUAUCCCAAAUCAUGAAUAACCAGAUACCUCCAUAAUAUCACAUUAAAUCCAACAUAUCUCAUACAUUCACAUAAAUCGCA
rnacentral:sRNA from 1 species